rnacentral:lncRNA from 1 species
CUCCAUCUUCACCGCCAUUACUGCCGGAGCUUCGGCAAACGGGCUCUGGCAACCACCAUCACUACACUAACAACACCAACUCUCCAUGCUACAAACUUUCUCUCUUCGUCUCGUCGUAAGCUCGCCGAAGGCGAUGAUGACCGGAGAGCAUCGAGUUUCCAGCCACCAAUCACUGCCCACACUGCUGUCGGCAAAACUAUUCAACCGGCGACGCCCACUAGCCACCGCAAAACCACCAGCGCCACUCCUUUUACUCUCUUCUCCCCGCUCCUCUACUUUUCCUCCAUGAAUGGAGAGCUUGGUUCCAUAAAAAGGUACCAGAUCCAGUUGAUUUCUUUUUUUAUAGAUCCAACGUUGCUCCGGUGUCACACUGUUGAAGCAACACCGAUGGCCCAUUCCCUCUUUGCCUUUAUAUUUAUGUUCUAUCUUAUUGCUCAAUUUUAGAUUUGGCCGAAAUCAUGGCCACGUUAAAAAAAAAACUCAGUUUCGUCUGUACCCCAUUUCGACGUUGCUUCAACGAUUGUAACAUUAACACUAUCACUACUAUAAUUGUUUACUGUCAUUGUCGAAUAUUGUUCGCUAAUAUUUCAUUAUUAUACUGUGAUUUUGUUCUUUACUUUUUGCCAUUGCUGCUAUGUUUGUUACUGUUGCUGUUAAUCAUGUGUCUGUGGGUUUGCUUUGCUACUUUGCUAGCUUGACUAAUUUUUAGGAUUGUUUUGGGCAUAGAGAAUAAAUACUAUACAAUAUGAUGAAUGACAGUAUCUAUCUGUCGGAUAUUUGAGGUCAUCCUGUUACAAGAGACGAACUUUAUUUUGUCGUCGAUACUUCGUCAAUGAAAUUAUCUUUCCGUCAGAUACUUGAGGUCACGCCGUAACAAAAGACAGAUUUUACUUUUUUUAAGUUUACUUAUUUUAUAAGUAUCAAAUAUUCAAUUGGCUAAUGGCAUUAUCUUUCCGUUGAAUAUUUGAGGCCAUCCCUAUACAAAAGACGAAUCUUUACUUAAAACUUUAUCUGAGCCCACUUUUUAACAAAAAAUAUAUUUUUAAAUACGGAUAUGCACACAUAUUUUUUUAAUUUAUUUUGAUUAUUAUUUAUUUGUUACUAACAUUUUUAUUACAAGUGUUUAUAUAGGUUAUUGGGAAUCAUUAUCGGAGAUGGCAGUCAAAGAAGACUUUAAAUUAUGUGUUUAUAUUUUAUAUUCUUGCACUUGUACAAAUGUUAGUCAUAGUGAAAGCUUUAUUUUUGGG